UCCCGGGAGCUUUCUGUUGUUUUGCAAUGAAAGCAUUUGUUGGGCGUCCCCUGGGCUCCAGGCAUCUUGCCAAGCGCCGAGAUUCGAGGGGUGGACUUCUUGAUCUACUUCUAACAAUCUGUAAUUCCAGGGCCAGGCUUCACCCAUCUCUGAGGACUGACCGGAUAGGUUCCAGCUCAGGAGCGCCAGCCUGGUCAGCUGAAUCCUUUGCCCUGAGUCUCAGAAGGCUGUAAUCAAGGUAUCAGCAAGGCUGCAUCCUCAUCUGGACACUCAACUGGGGAAGAAUCCACCUGCAAGCCCAUUCAGUUCCCAGCCUCUCUUACAGAUGGGUGUGACCAAGUGACUGAAUUCUGGCUAAUAGAAUGCAAGUGAAAGUGACAAGCUGGCUCAUAAAACUCCCAGGUGCUGAUCUUUGCUCCCGUUCCCACCUGCUAGCCGAAUGAAGGAGACUGAGUCAAACCAGAUGUGCCCAUUCCAAAUUUCAGAGUCCCACUCCCCCUCCAUCACUGGAAAGACUUAAUAAGACUGCAUUCAAGGGGCACUUGGGUGGCUCAGUCGUUUAAGCAUCUGCCUUUGGCUCAGGUCAUGAUCCCAGGGUCCUGGGA